CCCACCACAUGACAUUCCGCGGUAUCUUAUCAUAGGCCUUCUCCAAGUCAAUGAACUAAUCCCCAGUUAGUGUGCUUGAAAAAUUAUUGCUUGUCAUGAUAAAUUUUAUGGCAUCAACUCGGUAUUGUGAUUAGUGACCUAGUACUCCGUAUUUGUUUAGUGUAGACAGCUAACUUCUUUUUUCUUAUUUUUUAGUGAUAUGCGUGUUUUGCUAUGUCUUAUGUUGAUAGUAUAUUCUUUUUUUUGUAUUAUUCAUGUCCAGUCACUGGAAUAAUGCUUUUCUAGAUUUUCCUAGACUUUGUGACAAUUAAUUUGUAGUGCGAUCAUUGAGUUUCUGACAUCCUAUUGCAUAAAAUUCUGUUGUAAUGUUUGUUGGAUCAUUGAGUAGUUAAUAUUGAUUCUGAGCUUGUUGGAUCAUUGAACUUCUGCGUGCACUUCUGUUAUCUGAGAGACACUCACGAUCCCGCAUUUCGUGUUUGCGGCGAGCGAUGAACGAUUACGUUUUGCGUUCCCGCGUUUUGUGUUCGCCGUCUGGUUUUGAAUUUGGAUUACGGAGACGGGGAGAGGCCAGAGUAAGGUCAGUUUCAGAUCGGUUUCGUCGCUGCGUUGAUCGUCGGCGAUUUCCAGACCUCAAACGCAUGCGCCCUUGUGAUACUCUAAUUUGGCUCGUGGUCGUUACGGUUGUUCUUACGUUCUUGAAUAACCCCAUCUUAUUCGCAGAGAUGGUGUGAUUCGUUAUGGUUCUUCUGAUGGCUGCUUAUGUUCUUUCGAAUUGGGUUCUUCUUGUAAUGCUUUGCCUAUGUUCCCAAUGUCUAUCUUUCCAUAUAUGGGGAUGCGUUCAGAGGUGCAAACCAUGUAGGCCGUGGUGUGUUUAUACUAUCUAUGGUGUGUUUUACACUAUCUGAUGUGGAACGUAGAAAUAUUGAUAUCACUUCUGUGCUAGUAUACUAGAUAUGGUGUGUUUCAUCCAAGUUAACCACAUCUCUUACAAAUUUUCCUUGGAGUGAUUGAUGUCUUGACGAAUAUAAUCAUUUAUGCUAACUUGGUAUUGGUAGUUCCUGAGGUAACACACCAAUACUUGUUUAGUGCAGACAAUUGACUAUUCUUUUUUCUGAACUUUUUUGUGAUAUGUGUGUUAUGUGGAUAUCAUAUUCUAAUGCUUUUCUAAGUAUUCAAGGUACAGACUUGUGGAUCUGGACAUGUCACAUUUGCUCUUUAUUGGGUUGCUAAGGACACUGAACAGUUUGGCUGGGCCACUGCACGGCCUGGCUAAUCAGGAAGUGUUGCUAUGAAUCAAAUCUAUAAUGAAACAGACUGGGAGUAACAUCACAACCGACCAACUUAAAGAAUAUGUAUGGAAGACACUGAAGAGUGGAAAGGUUGUAGUGAUUAGAGAGAAGCUUGCAGAACUGUGCUGGCAUUGACUUGGACUCAGGAAUCAGGAUGCUUGAUGACACAAACAAAUUAUCCAAGUGCGUCCAGAUUGAACGACUCUAUUUGGAGGAUGAUGAUGCAGUGAAUGCUGAAGCUUUUAUCAACAAAGCCUCGUUUUUGGUCACAAACAGCAACCAGGAAGUUCUGAAAUUACAAUACAAGGUCUGCUAUGCGAGUAAAUUCUUGGAAGCUUCAAUUCGAUACUAUGGUAUCUGAGCAACGCCAAAUUGGGGAUGAGUUGUUCCUGGCUAUGGUCAUGGAGUUCUACGUAAUACAGACCCAAGAUACUCGUGCCAAAGGGGGUUCACAUUGAAAUAUUUACCCGACCCAAGAUACUCGUGCCGAAGGGAGUUCACAUUGAAAUAUUUACCCGAGGACCCACUUUUCCAACUGGACCUUGUUGCUUGCAUUCUCGUGUCUUUUGGCAAGGAGAAAUUAUCAUUUGGAGGGGAAAAGACAGCUGAAAACAUGCAAGAUAGUAUAUGCAAAAGACAUUCCCUUCAGUUAUUGAAUCAGAGUUCAGCGGUGAAGAACACUACAAUUUUUUGGUUGAUGGAUUGAUCUGAAUAGAUUGUAAGGAAUUUCCAUGAAGUGGUUAUUCAAAGAAUGGAACCAAUUUUAUGGUGAGUCUUACAGAAAUGUAGGGAAAGGCUGCGUACUAUAGACCCAAAGUGGUCAGACCCUUCCCUGGACCCUGCGCAAGCGGGAGCUACAUGCACCAGGCUUUCUAAAAUGGACGUGCAUAGAUCUGAGAAAGAAGAGAACAUGAAUCUAGCGGACGGAGGUCAUGUAGUAUUCACUAAUAGAUGAUAGAACCACAUAUUUUGGAAAUUCCUUGACAAAAAACACAAGAGCAUCAUUGUUUGGUCAAUUGCAGGUCAAUGUUGGCACUGGCCAGAUCAAGCAGGCAGUGGCGACACUAGACGAGGCGUCCUUGCACUGCAAGGCUGCCCUCGACAUAUGUGAAAAGUUUGGCGAGUUAAUUCUUUUCCUCGAAUCAAACGGAAAUCUGAAAACUAUCAAAGAGAUACCAAAUGAUGAAUAUUUCAGAUGUCGACAGGCAUGGUAAGACGUGUUUUGGUUGACUAUGAUGUGCUCAUCGUUGACUCCACCACCGUUGGUUUUGAGGAUGGUACCUCAAGAAUGACCAGACCUGUGAGCACGCCGUCCUUGCAUUCACUCUUGGAGUGAAGAAGAGUAUCUGCUGUUUAAUAAGAGCCUUCUGAUCUUCGUACUAUAAAGUCUGGAUGUGAUGGCCAUUGUGCUUACUAUCAAAACUGUUACUUGAUGAGAACAUUCUAAGCUAAUUCAAGAUAUGUGCUUCCCCCUUGAUGAACUAUUAUACAUACUUCAGCAGGAAAAACGUGUUUAAUCUACCAUGAACGUAAAUGGAUGAUAGCAGGAUGUUAAAACUUCAUAUAUGUUGUUGCUCAUCGGAUAUAACUAUAACAUGAUGGUCUCAGUUUAUUUUUCAGAGUUCGAAACCUAUAUUAGUCAUCAUGAGAGUGAGAUUUGUAAAUUCCACCUUGAAUCAGUGAACACUUUCCCUUUGCUGUACAAUUUUUUUGUUCUUAUGAUGGUACCAUGCUUGCUAAUUAUAAGAGGUACAAAUAAACUAUUCCUUUGUUUGUCUAGAAAUAGUUUUUCUACUUUCUAUGCAUUGAAGAGAUAGCAAAUCCCUUGCUACAUGUACUAGGGCGAUGCCCAGGUUCACCAAAGGGUCUUUUCAUGCAUGAAAAAGAGAGUAUAUAUCUUCUAGCUAUUAUCAGGUUGUAGGUGUACACAUGGUUAUUGAGUACCAUGACAUAAUCAUCCAUAGUUUCGUGAAAUUUGAAUUCCCAUCUCUUUAUCGUAUUAUUCAUUUUGCACUCGGCUUUCAUAGAAGAUAAAGGUUUGUUUUGUUUUGUUCAUACGACCUGUUUUGGCUUUUGAGAUCAGUUGAAAGCUCUUGAUAUUUUGAAGUUUAUACUGCACUUCACACAAAAAUAUCUGGGCAUAUGUUUCUUUAUUCAGCGAAGUGAACACCUAUACUCAGAUGCUUUUUCCACGGGCAUUCACCGUUUACUUGAUUACUGAUGGAAGGAUCUCCGUGCCAAUUGCUGUUGGGAACCAUUUGCCUCUACACCGAUAACCCUCAUGUUGUAUUAUACCAUGAGCUACCAUGACGUCCUCCACCGACCGCUAUUUGAACCUCAGCGCAUUCUUCUGUAAAAGUGACUCGCAUCAAGUCUUUUGCGCUUUCCUCUUGACUUUCUAAAUGCGGAUCAUAUUAUGUGUUAUUGCUUUCUUUAAGAUAUAUCACUGGCCAUGGAUUUCCUUUUAUCCGUCACCACCUUCAUACCUUUCUAUCCUGGAAUUUAUAUGGUGUACUGAGCUAUAUGGGAUUGGUGUUUAUUGGGUUGGCACGUGGCAUGCAACUAAACUUAAUUGUACCGGACCAUUAUUGUUAUAUAAGUAUCUAUACCUCUUUUGGUUAAGGUCCCAUCAAAACUGAGGCAUUAUAGAUGCCUAAAUUUUUUGGGGUCGGUUCAUGGAUGGUGCUUUUGCUAUGUUCUAUUUUAUAUGCAAUACUCAAGUUUCUUUGUUACCAAGUUGGAUAUGGCCGCACCUGGCAGGGGUGCGGUGGUGCGGCAAGCCGCACUUUCCAUCUAGUGAGGGAUAAUGGACCUUGUAUGCAGAUUUUUGGGACUCGAUUUGUUGAAUAUACAAGCAAAAGGCCCGUGCGCUGCAACAAGAGAAAACACAUAAUCUCAUGCAUCACUGAGAUACA